rnacentral:RNase_P_RNA from 1 species
GCGAUGAACCAGACGAUCGCCCUGUCCGUUAAGCGCCGCAGCUUUGUUGUACCCGGUAACGCGCUUUGGGGCAGGGAGGAAAGUCCGGACUCCGCAGGGCAGGAUGCCGGCUAACGGCCGGGGUCGUCAUUUGGAAAGCGCGCUUCCGCAAGGAAGCGGCGCUUUCCAAAUGACGGGACAGAGAGCGCAGCAGAAAACAAACUACCCGGACAGGUUUUCGCCCUGAGCGAAAACCUGUCUUGUGGAAAAGGUGAAAAGGCGGGGUAAGAGCCCACCGCGGCGGCGGCAACGGCGCCGGCACUGCAAGCCUCAUCCGGAGCAAAGUCAAACAGCUGUGGCGAAGGUUUUCCUUCACGGACGGCCCGUCCGUACAUGGCGGGUAGACUGCAAGGAGCCUUUCGGUAACGAAAGGCCAAGACAGAUGAUCGUCAGGUUUUGCGUAAGGCAAAACCGACAGAAUCCGGCUUAUGGU